UCAAUCAGCCAUGGAGCACCAUCCGCUCAGCAGAUGAGCACUCAGGCUGUGGCACAUGAGCCUGAGUGACAUCAGCCCUGCCUGCUCUCUACUGAGGGCCAAACUCCAAGACGUGGGUAGAGGGGCUGGCAGCACCAGGACACACAAGUGCCCAGCCGCCUGCAGCUCCAAAUACCUGAGCCAUGGUCGUGGGCCCUGCAGGCUUCCUGUGCGACUGCCACGAAUCCAGCCUGCAUGUUUGGGGAUGAUGCCUUCCAGAGCGAAAGUAGAGUCUUACAAUGGUGGGAAACACUGUGUUUCAGUUCAGUAACACGAAACGGAACUUAGACUACCCUGUCGCCCCAGAAAGACCAGCAUCUGUUUACUUAACUCACACACAGAACUUGCCACGCACAGAACUCGAGUCAGAUAUCUCUGCAGCUUGUCCGGGAUGCUCACCCAGAGGAAAAUGACAGAUACUUUCCCUUUCCAUGACUGCCUUGUCUAGGUGAU
rnacentral:lncRNA from 1 species